AGAGUUUGAUCAUGGCUCAGGAUGAACGCUGGCGGCGUGCCUAACACAUGCAAGUCGAGCGAUCUUCUUCGGAAGAGAGCGGCGGACGGGUGAGUAACGCGUGGGUAACCUGCCCUGUACACACGGAUAACAUACCGAAAGGUAUGCUAAUACGAGAUAAUAUGCUUUUAUCGCAUGGUAGAAGUAUCAAAGCUUUUGCGGUACAGGAUGGACCCGCGUCUGAUUAGCUAGUUGGUGAGGUAACGGCUCACCAAGGCGACGAUCAGUAGCCGACCUGAGAGGGUGAUCGGCCACAUUGGAACUGAGACACGGUCCAAACUCCUACGGGAGGCAGCAGUGGGGAAUAUUGCACAAUGGGCGAAAGCCUGAUGCAGCAACGCCGCGUGAGCGAUGAAGGCCUUCGGGUCGUAAAGCUCUGUCCUCAAGGAAGAUAAUGACGGUACUUGAGGAGGAAGCCCCGGCUAACUACGUGCCAGCAGCCGCGGUA
rnacentral:rRNA from 1 species